AGCCGGGUGUUGGACGUCCCGGUUUAAGCGUGUAGGCGUGCCCCUUAGGCAAAUCCGGGGGGCUGAGCUGAGGCGUGAUGACGAGGAACCACGGUUCCGAAGUGAUUGAUACCAAGCUUCCAGGAAAGGCCACUAAGCUUCAGUCUAGAGUUGACCGUACCGCAAACCGACACAGGUGGGCAGGAUGAAAAUUCUAAGGCGCUUGAGAGAACUCAGGAGAAGGAACUCGGCAAAUUAACACCGUAACUUCGGGAGAAGGUGUGCCCCGGUAGCGUGUAGAGACUUGCUCUCGAAGCGCGAUGGGGUUGCAGUGAAAUGGUGGCUGCGACUGUUUAAUAAAAACACAGCACUCUGCAAACACGAAAGUGGACGUAUAGGGUGUGACGCCUGCCCGGUGCCGGAAGGUUAAGUGAUGGGGUGCAAGCUCUUGAUCGAAGCCCCGGUAAACGGCGGCCGUAACAAUAACGGUCCUAAGGUAGCGAAAUUCCUUGUCGGGUAAGUUCCGACCUGCACGAAUGGCGUAACGAUGGCCACACUGUCUCCUCCUGGGACUCAGCGAAGUUGAAAUGUUUGUGAAGAUGCAAUCUACCCGCGGCUAGACGGAAAGACCCCAUGAACCUUUACUGUAGCUUUGCAUUGGACUUUGAACCGGUUUGUGUAGGAUAGGUGGGAGACUGUGAAGCCGGGACGCUAGUUUCGGUGGAGUCAACCUUGAAAUACCACCCUGAUUUGUUUGAGGUUCUAACCUUGGUCCGUGAAUCCGGAUCGGGGACCGUGCAUGGUAGGCAGUUUGACUGGGGCGGUCUCCUCCCAAAAGGUAACGGAGGAGUACGAAGGUACGCUUAGGGCGGUCGGACAUCGCCCACAAAGUGCAAUGGCAAAAGCGUGCUUGACUGCGAGACCCACAAGUCGAGCAGGUACGAAAGUAGGUCAUAGUGAUCCGGUGGUUCUGUAUGGAAGGGCCAUCGCUCAACGGAUAAAAGGUACUCUGGGAUAAUAGGCUAAUUCCUCCCAAGAGUUCAUAUCGACGGGGGAGUUUGGCACCUCGAUGUCGGCUCAUCACAUCCUGGGGCUGUAGUCGGUCCCAAGGGUAUGGCUGUUCGCCAUUUAAAGUGGUACGCGAGCUGGGUUUAAAACGUCGUGAGACAGUUUGGUCCCUAUCUGCCGUGGGCGCUGGAAAUUUGAGGGGGGCUGCUCCUAGUACGAGAGGACCGGAGUGGACGAACCUCUGGUGUACCGGUUAUGACGCCAGUCGUAUCGCCGGGUAGCUAAGUUCGGAAGAGAUAAACGCUGAAAGCAUCUAAGCGUGAAACUCGCCUUAAGAUAAGAUUUCCCGGAGUCUUGAACUCCCUGAAGGGUCGUCGAAGACCACGACGUUGAUAGGUCAGGUGUGGAAGCGCAGCAAUGCGUUAAGCUAACUGAUACUAAUUGCCCGUGCGGCUUGAUGA
rnacentral:rRNA from 1 species